AAGGCAAACUAAACCGGUGGCCUACCCCUUAUAUACUGUUUGCUAUAGCACUAUGUGACUGUCAUUUUUGAUUUACGUGAUAUUCACACUGCGACGUAAUACUCCGUUUUAUUUCUUCGGUAUGACCGCCUGACCUCACCCGUCACCCGAAAAAUAAACAGCCGCUCCCCAAACAAACUUUAAAAGAAUACUAAAAUUAGAAAAUGAAAGCGAUAAAAGCAAAACGUCUCUUUUUUAAUUAAUAAAUUAACUUAAAAGUUAUUAUAAAAACAUACAUAGAAAACCUGCAUCAAAAUAAAAAAUCUGUCUAUGUUCCAGCUCAUGUCUAUUUUAGACAGAUCUUCGUCAUUUUGCCCGCGAAACACGCAUCUUAAAUUUUUUUCAAGGAGUCUUUGGUUGUUGUGUUUGUUGUUGUAUUUGUAAACAGAAAGCCUGUUUGCCUUUUCGAGUGAUAAAUUAAAGCCGCGAUGUACACGAUAAUGAAAAAAGAUCAACAUUUGAAGCAAUGCAGGAUUCUUUUAGUUUAUUUCUCCAUAAUACACAUGGAGUUAUUAACUUCUACUCAGUGUCCCUGCAAAGAGGUCGGCAGAUAUGGAGAAAGAAAGUUUCUCUAGUCAUAAAUAAAAUAAUAGCCAUGCUUUC